AGUGAACGCUGGCGGUAGGCCUAACACAUGCAAGUCGAACGGCAGCACAGUAAGAGCUUGCUCUUACGGGUGGCGAGUGGCGGACGGGUGAGGAAUACAUCGGAAUCUACUUUUUCGUGGGGGAUAACGUAGGGAAACUUACGCUAAUACCGCAUACGACCUACGGGUGAAAGCAGGGGAUCUUCGGACCUUGCGCGAUUGAAUGAGCCGAUGUCGGAUUAGCUAGUUGGCGGGGUAAAGGCCCACCAAGGCGACGAUCCGUAGCUGGUCUGAGAGGAUGAUCAGCCACACUGGAACUGAGACACGGUCCAGACUCCGACGGGAGGCAGCAGUGGGGAAUAUUGGACAAUGGGCGCAAGCCUGAUCCAGCCAGACCGCGUGGGUGAAGAAGGCCUUCGGGUUGUAAAGCCCUUUUGUUGGGAAAGAAAAGCAGCAGGUUAAUACCCCGCUGUUCUGACGGUACCCAAAGAAUAAGCACCGGCGAACUUCGU
rnacentral:rRNA from 1 species